rnacentral:rRNA from 1 species
GAUGAACGCUGGCGGCGUGCCUAAUACAUGCAAGUCGAGCGAACGGACGAGAAGCUUUCUUCUCUGAUGUUAGCGGCGGACGGGUGAGUAACACGUGUCUAACCUACCUAUAAGACUGGGAUAACUUCGGGAAACCGGAGCUAAUACCGGAUGAUAUGUUGAACCGCAUGGUUCAAAAGUGAAAGCCGGUCUUGCUGUCACUUAUAGAUGUAUCCGCGCUGCAUUAGCUAGUUGGUAAGGUAACGGCUUACCAAGGCAACGAUGCAUAGCUGACCUGAGAGGGUGAUCAGCCACACUGGAACUGAGACACGGUCCAGACUCCUACGGGAGGCAGCAGUAGGGAAUCUUCCGCAAUGGGCGAAAGCCUGACGGAGCAACGCCGCGUGAGUGAUGAAGGUCUUCGGAUCGUAAAACUCUGUUAUUAGGGAAGAACAGAUGUGUAAGUAACUGUGCACAUCUUGACGGUACCUAAUCAGAAAGCCACGGCUAACUACGUG